rnacentral:rRNA from 1 species
UACAUGGGGUGCAAACGUUGCUCGGAAUCAUUGGGCGUAAAGCGCGCGUAGGCGGUUACUUAAGUUGGAUGUGAAAGCCCUCGGCUUAACUGAGGAAGUGCAUCCAAAACUGAGUAGCUAGAGUACGAAAGAGGGUCGCGGAAUUCCCGGUGUAGAGGUGAAAUUCGUAGAUAUUCGGAAGAACACCAGUGGCGAAGGCGACACACUGGCCCGUAACUGACGCUGAGGCGCGAAAGCGUGGGGAGCAAACAGG